AUUGAACGCUGGCGGCAGGCCUAACACAUGCAAGUCGAACGAGUGGCGGAAGGGUGAGUAAUGUCUGGGAAACUGCCCGAUGGAGGGGGAGAACUACUGGAAACGGUAGCUAAUACCGCAUACCAUCGGAUGUGCACAGAUGGGAUGAGCUAGUAGGUGGGGUAACGGCUCACCUAGGCGACGAUCCCUAGCUGGUCUGAGAGGAGGACCAGCCACACUGGACCUGAGACACGGUCCAGACUCCUACGGGGGGCAGCAGUGGGGAAUAUUUCACAAUGGGCGCAAGCCUGAUGCAGCCCUGCCGCGUGUAUGAAGAAGGCCUUCGGGUUGUAAAGUACUUUCAGCGAGGAGGCGUUACUCGCAGAAGAAGCACCGGCUAACUCCGUGCCAGCAGCCGCGGUAAUAC
rnacentral:rRNA from 1 species